AGCCAAUCAGUGGGAAAUACCCUUUUGAUGAAAAUAAGAAUUUAAAACUGUGAGCUAUGGUUGAAAGUUGCCCUUUUAUCAGCAUCGGCAUCUCAGAUCAUGCAGAUAGGCAGCUGAAAUCUCAGGAACCCUUUAAUCAAACAGAUCCAGACACUCUAAAAUAAGAGUGGCAGGGAUCACACAUUUUAAAAUUUAGGUAAUCUCUGUGGGGCGGCGGGGGAGUGGGGGGUGCCGGGAGCCGUCAGCCUAUAAAUUAAGCCUCUGCCUUGUGACACGGUCCGGGAGAGAGUUGAGGGGACGCACGGCAACCCUCAAGGGAAUCUACCAGGCUGCCCCUGCAAUGAGUCUCCCUGGUACUUCUGACUUUUCUGCUUCUGCUCACCCUGUUCUGCACCUGGGGUUAUUUCAGGGGAAGUCAGCCCGGCCCUGGGAAUGAGAAUGAUACAAUGCAAUAUUCUAGGGAAAGUUCUGGGGAAAAACAUCUUCUAGGGAAAGAACAUUCUGACCCGUCCUUUGGUCGGGUGAAGCGAUGGGAGUGGAGAGGGAACAAAGAAAUCUGUGGCCCCCACAGAUCUCCCUAGGAGGACGGUGGUUGCCACGGCCCAUUGAGUCAGGAGGCCGCUGGGGGUGGCGUCCUUGAAGUAAAGAAUUACAGAAGCUUGACUCCCCCCAGGCCUACACACAAUCAAUUGCUCUUAGGACUAUGGUCUACCUUACAAUCAAUUGGUCUUAGGACUAUUGUUUACCUUACAAAAACCCGCUUUCGCGAGCCAAAAAUAUGUACUGGGACUGUUUCAUGAAAUCAUCCUUGCAUAUCCUGAGCCCUAUAUAAAUCAUACAUACACAAAAUAAAGUUAGACUUGGACUUGGACUUGGACACCGAACUCCUUGUCUCACUGCCUCCUCCUUCACCAACGCUGUCCAUCCCUCAGGAGACCCUGUUCCGUCUGGGGCUGGACCCCAGCAGGGGGGAAGAAGAGAAUAUCCGUCAAAUGCAGACUCUGCAGCUGCCUCGCUCCUCCGGCCAUGGUCAAGGUGAAAGAAAGAUAGGCCUGGAAGGUACUCAGCACAGUGCCAAGACACCAGCCCCACCUAGGCUGGGGGAGUUCCUCUUCUGUUCUCUUCAGGGCCACCUGGGGUCAUGUUGCUGUUCCCAAACCACUUCCUGAGGCUACCUGGGACCCCUCUGCCUAGACAAGCCUCACCACACAGGGCCAGGUGAGCUCUGGGCCUUGCUACCUACUGCACUCCCUGGGGACAAGGGCACAGCUCUCCCUUUCUC
rnacentral:lncRNA from 1 species